rnacentral:RNase_P_RNA from 1 species
CUAUCCUGUUACAGACAAUCGCGCUGUCCCGCUUGCGGGAUGUGAGGAAAGUCCGGACUCCAUUUUGAGCAGGGAUGCCGGGAGAAAUUCCCGGGACUGUUGAAUGCAAAUUCAGCUGACAGAACAGUGUCACAGAAAAUAUACCGCUUCUUUUGGGAAGUAAGGUUGAAAAGGCAGGGUAAGAGCCUACCGUCCGGAGAGUGAUCUCCGGGACUGACAAACCUCAUCCGGAGUAAGACCAUGUACAGGGAAUGAAGAACUGCUCACUUCAAUAUUCCCGGGGUAGGUUGCAAAAAGCUUGACAGUAAUGUUAAGCUAAGAUAAAUGAUUGUCGCCCGCCUCGGCGGAAACAGAAUCCGGCUUAUUUAACAGGAUAGAAAU